rnacentral:tRNA from 1 species
AGCGGGAUAGCCAAGCGGCAAGGCGUCGGGCUCAUAACCCGAAGAUCAGUGGUUCAACCCCACUUCCCGCUU